GGGCCAGUAGCUCAGUUGGUCAGAGCUGGCGGCUCAUAACCGCUUGGUCUUAUCGUCCGGCGCUUCCA
rnacentral:tRNA from 1 species